rnacentral:rRNA from 1 species
AGCGGCCGCGGUAAUUCCAGCUCCAAUAGCGUAUAUUAAAGUUGUUGCAGUUAAAAAGCUCGUAGUUGAAUUUCGAGAUCGGCUUACUGGUCGUGCUUUUGUACGUACUGGUAAAUCGGUUUCUCCUUUCUGACGAACUUUAAUGCCAUUAAUUUGGUGUUUUAGGGAAUCAGGACUGUUACUUUGAAAAAUUAGAGUGUUUAAAGCAGGCUCACGCUUGAAUACAUUAGCAUGGAAUAACGGAAUAGGACGUUUGAUUUUAUUUUGUUGGUUUCUAGGAUCGACGUAAUGAUUAAUAGGGAUAGUUGGGGGCAUUAGUAUUCAAUUGUCAGAGGUGAAAUUCUUGGAUUUAUUGAAGACUAACUACUGCGAAAGCAUUUGCCAAGGAUGUUUUCAUUAAUCAAGAACGAAAGUUAGGGGAUCGAAGACGAUCAGAUACCGUCGUAGUCU